rnacentral:lncRNA from 1 species
AACCAAAAUUGGGUUACAUCGUUAACACAAAGAAAAUGGCAGAAUAUAUAAUGUUUGUUGAUAAGAGCCAAUCAAAGUUGUAAACUGUAUCAUAUACGAAACUAGUAGUUUUAAUUUUAAUGAUAUCAUUUACCAAAGCAGCAUGUCAGAAUUAUUUGCGACCUUCCACCUUCUUUUGUUCUUUAGCGGGUUUCUCUUUUUUAUGUCUGCUCUUUGCUGCCGUAUAAGAGCCAAACGUUUGAAAUCCUUCCUUUUGAUCUAUCUUCUCUUGUUCUUGCAGCCUCGUAUAUCUUUUAUGAGCUUUCUGUUUCUCAAUUUCCUCUCUUUCACGCCCUGAAAA